rnacentral:lncRNA from 1 species
AUUAAUACAAAUGUAUAAUGUGGUUAUAAAUUUUAAAACGAAUUAAAAUAUUAUAGGCUUCAUAUAUAGAGCAUUUACCGAAAACUCACUAUUUUCGUAGGGGGUACACAUAGAUUUUGAGAAAAAUUCAAAAAAUUUGACAAUACUGUUUAAAUGCAUAGUUUAAUCAUGUAAUAACAUAUGAUGAAUUUCAAGGAGGUUUGGAACCUUUGUUGUCUCUGUUUCUCUAGGGAAUAUCAAUUUUAUAGUGGUUAG